UGUAUUCACUACUGUAAGUCACUCUGGAGAAGAGUGUCUGCUAAAUGAUGUAAG
rfam:Salmo salar isolate Sally breed double haploid chromosome ssa03, whole genome shotgun sequence.